AGGCGUGCUCACCUGGCGUGCUCCACCCGACUGGGCGUCCGCAAGCUCCUCCCCCGGGCGUGGCCUCCGGGCGGCCUGGCUGCUUCCCAGGUGAUCCCGGCUUCAGCUGGUGGAGUCUAGUUGACCGUUCCGCAGCCGCCAGGGCCAACGGAAAGCCGGUUGGGGGAACCGCGGCGGGGCUGGUGUCAUGAGCCUGAGGUGAACUUGAGGGUGCCUCCUCAGCGGUCUCCCGCCCUGCCCUGAGGGGAGCCGGGACCCCAAAGAGCGGAGGAAGAGCGCCACCCCGACUGCCGCCGCUUCGGAGCCAGCACGCGGGGUACCCUACGGGGAGUGCGGAUGCCCCCGUGUUCGGGCGGGGACGGCUCCACCCAUCUUGGGCCCUCCCUUCGGGACAGGGACUGUCCUGCCCAGAGUGCUGAGUACCCGCGCGACCGUCUGGAUCCCCGGUCAGGAAGCCCCUUUGAAGCCUCGCCGCCGUUUUCUGAGAAGAGACAAGGUCUCACUAUGUUGCCUGGACUGGAAGUACAGUGGUACAGGCCCAGCUCAUUGCAGCCUCAACCUUCCAGGCUCAAGCCAUCCUCCUGUCCCAGCCUGCUGAGUAGCUGAGACUACAGGAACGUACCACCAUGCCCAGCUAAGUUUUAUUUUUAUUUAUUUAUUUAUUUAUUUUUUUGAGACUGAGUCUUGCUCUUUUGCCAGGCUGGAGUGCAGUGGUACGAUCUCCAUUAACUGCAACCUCUGCCUCCCGGGUUCAAGCAAUUCUCCUGCCUCAGCCUCCUGAGUAGCUGGGACUACAGGCAUGCGCCACCACGCCCAGCUAAUUUUUGUAUUUUUAGUAGAGAUGGGGUUUCACCAUGUUGGCCAGGAUGGUCUCGAUCUCUUGACCUCAUGAUCCGGCCAUCUCGGCCUCCCAAAGUGCUGAGAUUACAGGCGUAAGCCACCAUACCCGGCCAUUUUUAAAUUUUUUAUGAAGACAACCUCACUAUGUUGCCUAGGCUGGUCUUGAACUCCUGGGCUCAAGUGAUCCUCCUGCCUCAGCCUCACGAAGUGUUGUGAUUACAGGUAUGAGCCACCACAGCCAGCCUGUAUUCUCACAUUUUUGAGUGACUACAUAUGCUACAUUGUUGUAACUUUUGGGAUGCAUCAGUAAACAGGAAUUCCUCUCUCAUGGAUUCCAUAUUCUUGUAGGGAGAAAACAAAGGAUAAGCAAUAACAGCAAGGCAAGGAGCACAACUUAAGUACAUCAUGUACUGAUCAGCACUAGGAAAAAGUAGUAGGUCAGGGUAAGAGAGAUGGAGAAUAUGUCAGGUAAUUUGCAGUUUCAAAUAUGUUGGUCAAAAUGAGGCUCUUUGAGACAGUGACAUUUCUGUAAAGACUUGAAAGAAGUAAGGAGGUGGGCCAUGGGAAGAACUGGGAAAAGAGUGGACCAAGCACAGGAAAAAACUACAGCAGAGGCCCCCAAGGCAGAAGUGUGCCUAGUGUGUUCAGGGAACAGUAAGAAGGCCAUUGUGGCCAGAGCAGAGUGAGCAGGGAAACCAUUGCAGGGUUUAAGAAUUUAUUUGUUUGCUGGUUUGAGAAUAGAUUUAAGGAAGCAAGAGUAGAACAGGAAGGUCACUAAGGAAGCUAACUGUAGUAAUCCAGGCCACAGGUGCCAGAGGUAGGUAGCAACUGAGAUGAAAAGAGGCUACAGAAUCCUACAUAUACUCUGAAGGUAAAGCCGAUAGGAUUUCCCAGCAGAUGGGAUGUGGCUUGUGGGAGAAAUGAAGGAGUCAGGAAUGACUCCAACGUAGGCAUAAGCAACUGGACGAUGGAAAUGCCAUUAACAGAGAUGAGGAAGGCUGAGGAAGAGCAUGUUUUGAAAGGAAGAUCAGGAAUUCCGUUUUUCACAUAUUGGGUAUGAGAUAUCAGGCAUUCAUAGGGAAUGUCCAGAAGGCAGUUGAAUAAUCAAGUCUGGAAAGAGGUCUGAGCUGCCCAUCUGUAUUCUGCGGUUAUCAGCAGAUAGGUAGUAUUUAAAGCCUGGAUAGGCUGGGCAUGGUGGCUUAUGCCUGUAAUCCCAAUACCUUGGGAGGCUGAGGCAGGAGGAUCACUUGAGCCCAGAAGUUCAAGACCAGCCUGGGCAAUAUGGCGAGACCUUGUCUCUACAAAAAAUUUUAAAAUUAGCCUGGUGCAGUGGUGUAUUCUAGCAAUCCUAGGAGGCUGAGGCAGGAGGAUCACUUGAGCCCAGGAGGUUGAGGCUACAGUGAGCUGUGAUUGCACCACUACACUCCAGCCUGGGCAACAGAGGGAGACCCUGUCUCAAAAAAACAAAAAUUAACUCAAAAUGAAUUAAAGACCUAAAUGUAAGAACUAAAACUAUAAAACUGGAGCUAUGAUCACACCACUGCACACCAGCCUGAGCAACAGAGCAAGACCCUGUCAAAAAAAGAGAAUGGACAAAGGAUCUGAAUAGACAUUUCUGCAAGGUUACACAAAUGGCCAGGGAGCACGUGAAAAGAUUCACAACAUUAUUAGCCAUCAGGGAAAUGCAAAUUAAAACCACAAGGAGAUGUCACUUCAUAUACACUAGGAUGGCUAUAAUCAAAAAGAUAAAUAAUAACAAGUGUUGGUGAGAAUAUGGAGAAAUUUAAACCCCCGUGUACUGCAGAUAGAAAGGAAAAGUAAUACAGUCAAUAUGGAAAAUAGUCUGGCAGUUCCGUAAAAGUUUCAACAGUUACCAUAGGACCCAGCAAUUCCAAUCAUAUGUAUAUACCCAAGAGAAAUCAAAACAUAUUCACACGGCUGGGCACAGUGGCUCACGUCUGUAAUCCUAGCAUUUUGGGAGGCUGAGACAGGUGGAUCAUGAGGUCAGGAGUUCGAGACCAGCCUGACCAACGUGGUGAAAUUGCGUCUGUACUAAAAAUACAAAAAUUAGCCAGGUGUGGUGGCGCGGGCCUGUAAUCCAAGCUACUCAGGAGGCUGAGGCAGGAGAAUUGCUUGAACCCGGGAGGCGGAGGUUGCAGUGAGCCGAGAUCACACCAUUGCACUUCAGCCUGGGCGACAGAGCGAGACUCCGUCUCAAAAAAAAAAAAAAAAAAAAAAUUCACACAAAAACUUAUACAUGAAUGUUCACAGCAGCAUUAUUCAAAAUAGCCAAAAAGUAGAAACAAACCAAAUGUCCAUCAACUAAUGAAUGGAUAAACAAAAUGUGGUAUAUCCAUACAAUGGAAUAUUAAUCAGCUAUGAUAGAAAGGAAUGUAGUUGUCGGGCGUGGUGGCUCACGCCUGUAAUCCCAGCACUUUGGGAGGCCAAGGCAGGCGGAUCAUAUGGUCAGGGGUUCAAGACCAGCCUAGCCAACAUGGUGAAACCUCGUCUCUACUAAAAAAAUACAAAAAUUAGCCGGGAUUGGUGGCGUGCACCUGUAAUUCUAGCUACUCGAGAGGCUGAGGCAGGAGAAUUGCUUGCACCCGGGAGGCGGAGGCUGCAGUGAGCUGAGAUCGAGCCACUGCACUUCAGGCUGGGCGACACAGCAAGACUCCAUCUCAAAAAAAAAAAAAGGAAUGUAGUGUAGAGACAGAAAGUAGAUUUGUGGUAGCCUAGGGAUGGGGGAAAUGACAGGGAAGGAGUCGUGACUGCUAAUGAGCCCAGGGUUUCUUUUAGAGGUGAUAAUUGCACAGUUCUGAAUAUACCAGAAACCACUGAAUUAUAGUCGUUAGGUGAAUUAUAUGUGCGGUUAAAAAAAUCAAACCUAGCCGGGUGGGCGUGGUGGCACACGCCUGUAGUCCCCUGUAGUAAUCUCGGGAGGCUGAGACAGGAGAAUUGCUUGAACCCUGGAGACAGAGGUUGCAGUGAGCCGAGAUUGCACCACUGCACUCCACCCUGGGCGACAGAGUGAGACUCCGUCUCAAAAAAAAAAAAAAAAAAAAAAAAAUCAAAACUAGAGCCACUCUAUCUAUAUUGCUCAAUUUAUUUUUCAGACAGCUGCUAAAUUAUCCAGACAUAACUACUUAUUAGGUUGUUUGAACUGUACCUGGUAAAUGGAACUGUUAGAUUUUUCUAUUGGUCCAGGGAGCGCCAUAAAGAAAUUCUGAAACACUGAGGGCUCUGAGAACCAAGAAAACUUGGGAAUCACCGUAAGGCAUAAACCUUUCUCAUUUCUUACCUUCCAACUUAUACCUCCCUUCUUAUCUCUAUCUGAACCCAUUCUUAUUCUUCUAGGUUAAAAGAAGAAGUACCUCUUCUUUUCUUUUUUCUUUUUCUUUUUUUUUUUUUAAGAUGGAGUGUCGCUACGUGGCUCAGGCUGGAAUGCAGUGGCAUGAUCUCAGCUCCCUGUAACCUCCACUUCCUGGGUUCAAGCAAUUCACUGUCUCAGCUUCCUGAGUAGCUGGGACUUACAGGCAUGCACCAUCACACCCGGCUAAUUUUUUUUUUUUUUUUUCCGAGAUGGAGUUUUGCUCUUACUGCCCAGGCUAGAGUGCAAUGGUGCGAUCUUGGCUUACUGCAACCUCUGCCUCUUGGGUUCAAGCAAUCUCCUGCCUCAGCCUCCCAAGUAGCUGGAAUUACAGGCACCCGCCACCAUGCCCAGCUAAUUUUUUGUAUUUUUAGUAGAGAUGGGGUUUCAUCAUGUUGGCCAGGCUGGUCUCAAACCCCUGACCUCAGGUGAUCCACCCACCUCGGCCUCCCAAAGUUCUGGGAUUACAGGCGUGAGCCACUGCGCCUAUCCUAAUUUUUGUAUUUUGGGUAGAGACGGGGUUUCACCAUGUUGGUCAGGCUGGUCUUGAACUGCUGACCUCGAGUGAUCUACCCACCUCGGCCUCCCAAAGUGCUGGCAUUACAAGUGUGAGCCACCGUGCCCAGCCACCUCUUCUUUUCAAGAUCAAUUUCUCCACCAUGUUCUUGUAACAAAUUCCUGGUCUCUAGGACACCCUGCUCCAGCAGCAAGUUAUUGUUUCUCCUGGGCAAACUCCCACACUGCACUGCCUCCUUCCAUGUAGUAUAAGCCUGCUGAGCAAAGGAGAGCAGCACAGAAGAACCAAUGGUCAUUUUUGCUUGAGAGUCUGGCAGUGUGUUGGUAAUUGUUAAUAGAAUUGCUUCUUUCUCCAAUUGAAAACAAAACAUGGCUGGUGUGGUGGCUCACACCUAUAAUCCCAGCACUUUGGGAGGCCUAGGCAAUAGGAUAGCUAGAGCCCAAGAGUUCACAACCAACAUGGCAACAUAGCAAGGCCCUGUCUCUAUAAAAAGAAGAUUAGCCAGGCAUGGCGACACACACUUGUAGUCCCAGCUACUUGGGAGGCUGAGUUGGGAGGAUCGCUUGAGCCCAGAAAGUUGAGGCUGCAGUGAGCUGUGUUCAUAACACUGCAUUCCAGCCUGGGCCACAGAACAAGACCUUGUCUCAAAAAAUAUAUGUAUAUGUAUAAUAAAACAAAACACCUCUGCCUAUUGCUGACUGUCUCCAGUCCCAGCCUUGAAAGAGUCACAGCUGUCUCCUACCCCCUCAAAUAAAUAUAACUCCAUGUGUGCUAUUUUUUUAUCUUAGACUCCAGGGAUAAGACUGAAAUGUGGGUUCCAAACCAUAGUAAUAAAGGGAAAAUAGAGGAAGAAAAUAAGAGAACUGUGAUAAGGCUAGGACAUUCUGCCACAGUCACAGAACUAAUUGAAUUAUUACAGUAUGUUAGAACUGAACUCAAAUUAGGACAUCACUUUUUGUAGAUAGAACUCAUGCUAGUUUUGUUUUUCAUUGUUAAGCUCCUCCAGUAAGAAGUAAAAUAACAGCUUAUCCAAGCAGCUUAAUGAGCAUUGUGGGUUUUAUCUUUGCAAAGAUUAGAGCAAGGACGUUCAAGCCUAAUAGCCUCAAUAACAGUUUCUAACUUUUUUCUAUUUGAGAUCCUGAAACAGGAAAGAUGAGAUUUUUAAAAGAGCUAGCAUGCUAUAUGUAAAGAAAAAAUUAACGUGUUACUUAUAUAUAAUUAGAAGUACUUAUUGGGAGGAGGCUAUGAAGAGGUGAUUUAAAAAAAAAAAAGUACUUCUCACUCUCUGAAGAGCCUCAUCAGCAUUAUUGGCCUUUUGAGAAGCAGCCAGUAAAACUGAGUGAUUUUUAGCCAUAGAUUGCUGUAAAGUAGUAGUUGGGGCCUGUGGCAGGAAGUAAGAUUCAUUUGUUAAUUUAAAAAUUCAUAUUAGGAGUUACUGAUGGGGAAAACAAAAACACAGUUUAUGAUAUUAAAAGAAUCUAGUCGGCCAGGUGCGGUGGCUCAUGCCUGUAAUCCCAGGACUUUGGGAGGCCUAGGCAGGCGGAUCACGCCAGGAGAUCGAGACCAUCCUGGCUAACACGGUGAAGCCCCGUCUCUACUAAAAAUACAAAAACAAAAUUAGCCGGGCGUGGUGUUGGGCACCUGUAGUCCCAGCUACUUGGGAGGCUGAGGCAAGAGAAUGGCGUGAACCCUGGAGGCGGAGCUUGCAGUGAGCCGUGGUUGCGCCACUGCACUCCAGCCUGGGGACAGAGCGAGACUCUUGUCUCGAGAAAAAAAAAAAAAGAAUCUAGUCGAGGAUGCAGUCAGUAUCUACCCAUUUAGACUCCGAGUUUGUUGAGAGGAGGAGCUGUUCUUUUUACGCUUUAAGAAUCCCCUAAGAUAUUGCUAAGCACAUAGUAAAUAAUCAACACAUACUGAAUUAGAUUUCUAGUUUGUUCCUCUUCCAUCUUCUUCAUAUUUUUGCGUUUUGUUUUUCUCUUUUCCUGGUGUUUCCAUGUCCACGUGUCCCCUUACUGAGCUAUGGUAACUUGUAGUUCCUCAUACCUGUCACACCUGUGCUUUCAUGCCUUUGCAUAAGUGAGAUUCCCUUUCAUCUCUGUUCAUCAGAGGGAAUAGAAGGCUGCUCAUCCCAGAAGACUUCACUCCAAAAAUCACUCCUGCCUGAUAUGCUCUCUGCUUAUUCAUCCCUCACUUUUCAACUUAAAGGCUGCCUUCUCGGAGAGGCUUUCCCUGAGGCCCCAAAUCAGGGCACCUGUUCACUGGUACCAAGAAAAGGCCCAAGUGUUUCCCUGGCAUCAGUUGGUGUCUGGAUCCACCACUCCAUUCUGUCUCUGGAAAGAGCCCUUCCACGUCUCUGCAUUCCCUGUUACCGUGUCACUGGCCUUCAGACGGAGCCAAGGUACAGGGCAACACCUCUACAAGGAUCUGCAGCCAUUUAUAUUGCUUAGGCUACUGCCACAGGACAAACGAAUGAGAGGAGAAAGCAGCAGGAGAGAGAAGUGAACCAAAUUUUGAAUGCUGGGAGCAGAUGGACAGGUGGUGACUGACCUUCCCUCAAGCAUCUCUGGAGCCACAGCCCCCAGCCGGCCAUGUCCAGCACGUGAAUUUAGAAGAGAUACCACUAAUGACAGGAAGCCCAGGGUCCCUGUGAGAACGGAAGGACAUCAGGAAGCCCGCCGCUGGGCAGUAGCACUAACGGGCUGACACUUGGGAAACAGAAGCAAGCAUGAAGUGUCCACCUUCUCACUCAACAACAAAACUGAAGUUUGGCCAGACGCAGCGGCUCAAGGACUGUAUCACUUGAACCCCGGAGGCAGAGGUUACAGUGAGCCGAGAUCGUGCCAUUGCACUCCAGCCUGGGUGACAGAGCACUUUGGGGGACCAAGGCUGGCAGAUUAUGAAGUCAGGAGAUCGAGAUCAUCCUGGCUAACAUGGUGAAACCCUGUCUCUACUAAAAAUAUAAAAAUUAGCAGGGUGUGGUGGCGCAUGCCUGUAAUCCCAGCUACUCAGGAGGCUGAGGCAAGAGAAUCGCUUGAACCAGGGAGUCGGGGGUUGUGGUGAGCUAAGAUCACGCCACUGCACUCCAGCCUGGCGACAGAGAUAGACUUUGUCACAAAAAAAAAAAAAAAAAAGGCCAGGCGCAGUGGCUUAUGCCUGUAAUCCCAGCACUUUGAGAGGCCGAGGCGGGCAGAUCACAAGGUCAGGAGUUAGAGACCAGCCUGGCCAAUAUGGUGAAACCCCAUCUCUACCAACAAAAAUUAGCCAGGCGUGGUGGCAGACGCCUGUAGUCCCAGCUACUUGGGAGGCAGGAGAAUCGCUUGAACCCGGGAGGCGGAGGCUGUAGUGAGCCGAGAUCAGGCCACUGCACUCCAGCCUGGGAGACAGAGCGAGACUCUCUCAAAAAAACAAAAAAAAGAAAAAAGAAAAAGAAAAACCCGAGGCUUAAAGAGAAGAGACUCGCCCCCAGGUUAGUCAGGGAGGAAUAAAGAAGCCAGCACUCCCUCUCCCUGGAGGUGGCAGGGAGGGAAGGCAUCCGGAAGGGAUCAUGUUGAUCUGGCUCCUAAAGGAGUGGCCAUUUCCCAGGGAAGAGGAACAGCAUGAGAGCAGAGGUAUGAACUAGCUGGGUGCCGGGGUGGGAGGGCCUUUUAUUGCAGGGUUUGGAGGUGAGGGCAGAAGCUGACAGGACCAGGUUAUAGAGGACCUGUAGGCCCAGCCCAAGAGUCUAUAAGGAAGUCUGCACUGAAACUCACAACCCAUUCAUGACAAGGUGGCCUGAUCAGGGUACCCACUACCUGGUCAAUUGGCCACAUAGGCAAUUCCUGACAGCCAGGUGACCCCUGGCUCAGUGUAGACAAAGGAACUAUCAGCUCCCCUACCACGGAGGAACAUCACAUCUGCUCAUUCCUCAUCUAGUUUCAGUUUUAACCCACCCCACCUCGAGGAGUAUCUGAGGAUAAACAAGCCCUCUUGGCACUGGACGGACCAGCUAGGCCUGUUCUUCCACUGGCUGAACCAGAGGUUGCCCUUGGGGGGACUCAAAGGCCUCUGCUCUUGCAUUGGCCAAGACCAGAACAGGAGCAGCAGUGGAGGGGAGAGCCAGCCUGCACACACCCCCAAUUUGUAUCCACCACCCUAUAGUCAUAAGGGAGAUCCUGGGAGGUUUUGGGGAGGAGCAGGGAGGGCUGUCCACAAUCCACAAUCCCUGGCUCUCUCUACCUUAAGACUCAGCUUGCUUCAAAUUUUGCUUUUUUUUUUUAACCCUCCAGUCUUUCUUCUUCAAAAAAAAUUGCUUUUGCUGGGCGCGGUGGCUCAUACCUGUAAUCCCAGCACUUUGGGAGGCCAAGGCGGGCGGAUUAUCUGAGGUCAGGAGUUCGAGACCAGCCUGGCCAACACGGAGAAACCCCGUCUCUACUAAAAAUACAAAAUUAGCAAGGCGUGGUGGUGGGCGCCUAUAAUCCCAGCUAUUUGGGAGGCUGAGGCAGAGAAUCACUUGAACCCAGGAGGUGGAGGUUGCAGUGAGCUGAGAUCACUCCACUGCACUCCAGCCUGGGCGACAGAGCGAGACUCUGUCUCAAAAAAAAAAAAAAAAUUGCUUUCUUCUCUUACACAGACAGUUUCAUUCCCACUCCAUGAAAGGCUAGAAGCUUUGCCAUGAACUUUUCAGGGUGAAAUAUUAAUGAUGAUGAUCUAGACUGGAGGUCACAUAAUUCUCACUUUCCUGAUUCUCCCAUACACAGGGAAUAACGAAAAAAUGAAAUUCCUAAACUUCAAAGCCAUUUCCAACUGGAGGCCCCACAGACAACCAAUUAGCUGGCCAGUAGGUGGCACCAAAGGUUAAUCACAGCCUUUGGGCGAAGGGUUCCCAUUUGGUCCCGCUGGAAAGCAAUUCAGUUAUCCAUUCAGCACACAUAGAUGGCUGCAUGCCAUGUGCCGCGUCUUGAGAUGAGAAAGACAGAGUCUAAUUUCAAUUCACACCAGGGACUAAGAGCUGUGGAGAAGGCACCCAGAGUGAAUUUGGCCAGAGCAGGUGAUUUCCAAGCCAAGCUUGGCAGACACGUGUUUGCCUGGGGAAGGGCAGGCAAGAGGUUCCAGGUGCAUUUGGAGAACAAGCCAGCAUGGAGAGAUGAUCGGAGCAGACCAUAGACCCUUGGGCUGCUGCAGUAAUCUGAGUGAAUGAAAGGGAAUGCUGUAAUGUUGAAUCUGAGGAGCCCUGAGUGCACUUAGCAGGAUCUGCUGCCCCUGGAGGCUGGAGGGAGGGGCGAGAGAAUGGAGCUGCUGUGAACUCAGAGGAGGAGGUGAGGCUGGAACAAAACCGGAAAACAAUGCAGCCACAUAUUCUUGGUGCACCCCCCACCCCCACCCCCCUUUCGUGUUCUGUUUGCCUCUCUCCGUAUCUAUUUCUCUGCCAUAUUCUUAAAUCACCAGGUCCCCUGGUCAGGGCUGACCAUGGUGCCCCAUUAGGCUGCCUCGGGGAACUCAGCUGGGUUGUGGGCAGGGCUGGAAGUGCCUUGGUGACAUGUGGGUGCCCGGCAUUCCAGGUCUGAGAGCACCAAGGUCAGGCAUGGAGAUGGGCACAGGAGGGGGCCUCCCAAGGAAGGUGUAUGUUGAUGUGCCAGCAGUGAGCAGGCAGAGGUGGGGUCAGCCAGGUCCUGGGGUUUGAAUACCAAGAGAGGGACUACAGGCUCAGUGUCCUGGAAGCCCGGGGGUUUUCUGCACUGGGAAGUGGGCAGAUGAAAACGGGAAUGUAGAACAGAUAAACCCAGCAAGAGCCAGCUGGAAGUGGAAAUGGUGUGGGGCCCUGAGGGCCUGGAUCAGGGCAGGACCCUAAGCACAGACAGAAAGAACGUUUUAAAGGAAAAAUCCACCAGACUCGUCAGCUGUCAGAAUGUGGGGGCUGAAGGCAAGAGAUGAGUCAAAGAUGACUCAGAAGAUUUGAAGGUGAGUUCAAGGGAAAAUGGCAGUACUUUGGGGAAGGAGUUCAAAUUCGUGUCCAGGAACCCUGGUUCUGCUAGGAGACAGGAGCAUGCCAGAAGGCAUCCCACUUGUUUGCAUGUUUCUGGCCUGUCCCUCCCCCACUAGAACAUAAGCUCCUGAGGGAGCUGCCUCUGCUCUGUCAGUUCUUUGUGCUUUACUCGGGCUCACACACACCUGUCCCCUGCCUGACUCAGAGCAGAUGCCAGGGGAUACAGACUGAGGCUUCUCCAGGAGGGAGGCUAGGAAGGCCUGCAGGUGAGGGGUGAUAGGGAAGAAAGAGUCCCACCACCCCUCUCCCACAGGUGCUCCCACACCCAAGCACCCCCAGGACUGGACCCCCUCACAGGCACAGCCUCCUGUACCCCAGGCCUCUCUUCCUCUGAGAUCCCAGGCUUUCUGGCCCUACUAAGACUGCCAUCCUGGGAACCGUCUUUGUGCCCAUCCAUGCCUGUCCCAUUCCCUUCCUUCCCAAUACAUCCCUUCUACCACAUUCCUGCUCGUAUUCCCAGCAUCCUGUUCACUGGAGGCCCAUCCACAUGGAUGCGCAGCAGACAUUGUGGUCCAACAAAGGUGACACUGAACCACUGGCAAGGGUCACGUGCUAUCAUCUGCCUGAGCCCUAUGUUCCCCUGGUGAGCACAGCCUCACCCACCUGGGAGCCUCUGGGGCUCCUGUGCUUCACCCUGUUAACUCACUUCCCUGACCUCUCCCAAGUUUGCCCCUGCUCCACCCACCAACUCUUCGGGGACAGGCCCUCCUCAGGUCUCACUGGAAGCGUGCUUCCUACACCCCACGGUCAGAGUGGAUGCGGGUCAGACUGCAGCUCCUGGGAAGACACCACAACGCCUCCUGUGAUCUCCAGGCCACGUUGCCAGUCCCUUGGCCCCUGCCUACCUCUGACUUCAGCUCCAGUAGCCAACCCCUGCCCCAAGAGGGGCUCUGUGUCCCCCUACCCACUGCGCUGAAGGAAUUUUCCAGCCUCCAUUUUCUUUUUAAUUCUUGCCUUCUCACUGGUCCCUGGCUAACUCCUAGUACUCCUUCUAUAUCUCACCGCAGACCCUCAGGGCUCUUGCAAACUCUGUUCCCUCCCUCUCCUGCAUGCCCUCCCCGCAGCCAGCACCUGCCCUCCUCAGUGCAUGGGGUGCCCUCACCAUCCUAGCACUCUUCAAGACUUUCUAAGUCCACAUAUUUAGGUGGUGGGGGCUUUAUGCCUGCCUCGACCACAAUGGUCAGGACGCAAUUUUGCUCCCACUUUGACCCAGGGCCUGGACACGGGCUUUUGGUAAACAGAUAUGAACUGAAUGGUGAACAGACAAAUAAUGAACAGUAAGACUCCAUUUCUGGCUUAUCAACGUGGCCAGACAUUUUUUUUCAGCCGCACUCAGUGCUGCCAACAGUGGGAGGGGAGGGGAAGGAGAGUUUGCCGGCUUCCCAGCGGCAGCAUGUGGUGAAUUCAAGAAGUGACCAACCCCAAGCCGGCCUUUGAAGGAUGGGUUGAAACUUGCUUGGUGAAGUUUUGGUACUGAAGUAUCCCGAUUUUAUAGUUACUCAAUGGAAAAACUGGUUUGCUCUGUGGAAAUCCACUUUAGGGUCAACUCUGAAACAUAAAUGGCCAGCACCUGCUCCCAGGAUCCUCCCACAUUCCUUCUUUUUUCUUUUUUGAGACAGAGUCUUGCUCUGUCUCUCAGGCUGGAGUGCCGUGGCACAAUCUUGGCUCACUGCAACCUCCUCCCCUCAGGUUCAAGUGAUUCUCCUGCCUCAGCCUCCUGAGUAGCUGGGAUUACAGGUGCACGCCACCAUGCCUGGCUAAUUCUUUGUAUUUUUAGUAGAGAUGGGGUUUUACCACGUUGGCCAUGCUGGUCUCUAACUCCUGACCUCAGGUGAUCCGCUCGCCUCGGCCUCCCAAAAUGCUGGGAGUAAAGAAGUGAGCCACCGCGCCUGGCCCUUUCACAUCCCUUCUAUGGUCACACCUAUUGUAGAGAGAUUUAGACCAAAGCACAGAGAGGCUGAGAAGCUUGCUCAGAGUCACACAGCCAGUGAGUGGCAGGAACAGAAUUCACAAUCUGGCUCCAGACCUGUACUUUAACUGAUGCCAUCUUUCUUGGAAACUGUGUCUCCAAGAAAUGACUGAAUUUUUUUUUUUUUUUUUUUUUUUUGAGACGGAGUCUUGCUCUGUCACCAGGCUGGAGUGCAGUGGCGUGCUCUCAGGUUUAAGUGGUUCUCCUGCCUCAGCCUCCCGAGUAGCUGGGAUUACAGGCAUAUGCCACCACGCCCAGCUAAUUUUUGUAUUUUUAGUAGAGACAGCGUUUCACCAUGUUGG